CUAAACCAUAUAGGUAAGAGUAGUAAAUAAAUGAUUAUAUUUCAUAGAGAGCCGGUGUGUGGUGGAAAUCGGCAGAUAUAAAUUUAUCGAAUGGACUUACCUCGGGCAGUGAACAAAUCAAUCUUUGAGAGUAUUCGCUGACGGGAUCUUCGCCCGUUAUAAAGGAAGCAUAUAUGAUAGUAUAUGACAAAGUGGCUUAUUAUAAGCAAUUUGGGUGGUACCGCAGGAAAUAUAACUCUUGUCCCUUAC
rnacentral:ncRNA from 1 species